rnacentral:rRNA from 1 species
UACAGAGGUCUCAAGCGUUGUUCGGAUUCAUUGGGCGUAAAGGGUGCGUAGGUGGCGCCCAUAAGUCGGGUGUGAAAUCUCGGGGCUUAACUCCGAAACUGCAUUCGAUACUGGCGUGCUUGAGGACUGGAGAGGAGACUGGAAUUUACGGUGUAGCAGUGAAAUGCGUAGAUAUCGUAAGGAAGACCAGUGGCGAAGGCGGGUCUCUGGACAGUUCCUGACACUGAGACACGAAGGCCAGGGGAGCAAACGGG